rnacentral:rRNA from 1 species
GAUGAACGCUGGCGGCGUGCCUAAUACAUGCAAGUCGAGCGAACGGACGAGAAGCUUGCUCCUCUGACGUUAGCGGCGGACGGGUGAGUAACACGUGGAUAACCUACCUAUAAGACUGGGAUAACUUCGGGAAACCGUAGCUAAUACCGGAUAAUAUUUUGAACCGCAUGGUUCAAUAGUGAAAGACGGUUUUGCUGUCACUUAUAGAUGGAUCCGCGCUGCAUUAGCUAGUUGGUAAGGUAACGGCUUACCAAGGCAACGAUGCGUAGCCGACCUGAGAGGGUGAUCGGCCACACUGGAACUGAGACACGGUCCAGACUCCUACGGGAGGCAGCAGUAGGGAAUCUUCCGCAAUGGGCGAAAGCCUGACGGAGCAACGCCGCGUGAGUGAUGAAGGUCUUCGGAUCGUAAAACUCUGUUAUUAGGGAAGAACAAAUGUGUAAGUAACUAUGCACGUCUUGACGGUACCUAAUCAGAAAGCCACGGCUAACUACGUG